AACAGCUACCAAAGUCUAUAUAAGAUGUUUGUAGAAGCAGGUAUGUAAGUCUACCAAGGUCUAUCAAUACCAAUUACCUCCAUUGAUAGCAAGCUUAAAGCUCUCUACUCAAUUCAUUCUCAUCAACUUCAACAAACCAAACCAUCAGAACUGUACAAGCUUCCUUUGCCCUAUCUUAAAGUCGGUUAUCUAACUGCACCACCUGCGGGGAAUCCAGUUGCACUACUGUUUAUGGUAUGUGGUUGAAGAUUGAGAACUCUAUUCUAGAUGGGUUUCAUGGUAACAUUCUAAUUGAGGAAACACAAAAAAAGAAUCUGGUUCAAGAAGAUACGACUGAAUCGGCAGAGAUGCUUACGGUCUCGGCAGAAGGGACAAAUGAGGGUAUGCCACAGAAGAUACAAGUUAAUACUGAUAUCAGAGUUGAAGGAAAACAUACCAAGUGACCAAUUACAUUUGGAGAGGAAGCUGAUGGUGAAGCACAGUCUAAAGUACUACCAGAAAGGAAUCAACAACAAAAAAAAAAGCCACGAAACGAACUAUGAUAGAAAGCUUAACAACUAUAUAUAUAUAUAACCAAUUACAUCAGGGAAUUUUCAUUCAAAUGGUAUGUAUAGCAGAGAGGAUUUAGUCAAUGUCCCUAUUAUAUUUGCUUAUGGAGUUUCGAAUAGCACUAAUACUAUAUAUAUAUAUACAUAUAUAUAUAUAUAGGGUUAUUACCGGCGAAAAUACCCAAUGUUUACAUGUUGUUCUACUUAUACACCCAAUUUUUAUUUUUCGCGGUGAAUAUACUCAAACCUACAUGAACUGUGUCUCCGUCACUACUUUACUCCUAACAGCGUUAAAAACGCUUACGUGGCCAAUUGCGUGUACAAAACUAGACACAUCAUUUAGCCCAGGUAAGUUUUUAAUUAUUGAUUGAAAAAAAAAAGCUUUAAAUCCUUAAAUACCAUAUGCACGAGAGAUCUCCAUUGUAGAAGAAGAAGAAGAAGAAGAAGAGAGAAGAGAUGAAAGGGGAAGACCCAAGUGUGUCUUGGGGCGAAUCAAUAAACCGAGGUGGAGCCAAAAUGAGGUCGUCGAGAUCUAGGGCACAAGGUGUAUAUCAAGCUUGUCGUAAGCAUUGUGAUUGUGGGGCAGAAACAGUGGAGAGGACAUCAUGGACCGAUGAUAAUCCAGGGAGACGGUUCAAAUCUUGCUAUAGGAUGAAAUGGAAUGGGGGUUGUAACUAUUUCCAAUGGAUUGACCCCCCUAUGUGUGAAAGGUCAAAGAUGGUGAUACCUGGUUUGCUAAGAAGAGUACGUGAGUUUGAUGGUGAUCUGGGCAGAUAUUAUGAAUAUGAAGAUAGAUAUGAGUCUUGCUUUGAACCUAGUGUGGAGUCUUUUCAAUGUCAAAAUUGUGGCUAUAUGAAUGGGAGUUUGGAUGGAAGAGUUCAUGCAAGUUCCUGGUUGGUAAAGGGAAAUGUGAGGAAGAUGAUGUUGUUUUUUUUUUUUUUGUAAUUGUGUAUUGGCUGAAAAAAAUUAUGUAAUGUUCGACUUCCCUGUUUAUUGUAUUUAGUGUUGCUUUCAAGCAUAAUAAAAAUUAUGUAUUUUAUUUA